GAAGCGGCAAAAGCUCAAUUUGAAAUCUGGUACCUUCGGUGCCCGAGUUGUAAUUUGGAGAGGGCAACUUUGGGGCCGUUCCUUGUCUAUGUUCCUUGGAACAGGACGUCAUAGAGGGUGAGAAUCCCGUGUGGCGAGGAGUGCGGUUCUUUGUAAAGUGCCUUCGAAGAGUCGAGUUGUUUGGGAAUGCAGCUCUAAGUGGGUGGUAAAUUCCAUCUAAAGCUAAAUAUUGGCGAGAGACCGAUAGCGAACAAGUACAGUGAUGGAAAGAUGAAAAGAACUUUGAAAAGAGAGUGAAAAAGUACGUGAAAUUGUUGAAAGGGAAGGGCAUUUGAUCAGACAUGGUGUUUUGUGCCCUCUGCUCCUUGUGGGUAGGGGAAUCUCGCAUUUCACUGGGCCAGCAUCAGUUUUGGUGGCAGGAUAAAUCCAUAGGAAUGUAGCUUGCCUCGGUAAGUAUUAUAGCCUGUGGGAAUACUGCCAGCUGGGACUGAGGACUGCGACGUA
rnacentral:rRNA from 1 species